CGGGUAGCCGGUCUGAGAGGAUGUCCGGCCACACUGGAACUGAGACACGGUCCAGACACCUACGGGUGGCAGCAGUCGAGAAUCAUUCACAAUGGGGGAAACCCUGAUGGUGCGACGCCGCGUGGGGGAAUGAAGGUCUUCGGAUUGUAAACCCCUGUCAUGUGGGAGCAAAUUAAAAAGAUAGUACCACAAGAGGAAGAGACGGCUAACUCUGUGCCAGCAGCCGCGGUAAUACAGAGGUCUCAAGCGUUGUUCGGAAUCACUGGGCGUAAAGCGUGCGUAGGCGGUUUCGUAAGUCGUGUGUGAAAGGCGGGGGCUCAACCCCCGGACUGCACAUGAUACUGCGAGACUAGAGUAAUGGAGGGGGAACCGGAAUUCUCGGUGUAGCAGUGAAAUGCGUAGAUAUCGAGAGGAACACUCGUGGCGAAGGCGGGUUCCUGGACAUUAACUGACGCUGAGGCACGAAGGCCAGGGGAGCGAAAGGGAUUAGAUACCCCUGUAGUCCUGGCAGUAAACGGUGCACGCUUGGUGUGCGGGGAAUCGACCCCCUGCGUGCCGGAGCUAACGCGUUAAGCGUGCCGCCUGGGGAGUACGGUCGCAAGAUUAAAACUCAAAGAAAUUGACGGGGACCCGCACAAGCGGUGGAGUAUGUGGCUUAAUUCGAUGCAACGCGAAGAACCUUACCUGGGCUUGACAUGUAAUGAACAACAUGUGAAAGCAUGCGACUCUUCGGAGGCGUUACACAGGUGCUGCAUGGCCGUCGUCAGCUCGUGUCGUGAGAUGUUUGGUUAAGUCCAGCAACGAGCGCAACCCCUGUUGCCAGUUACCAGCACGUAAAGGUGGGGACUCUGGCGAGACUGCCCAGAUCAACUGGGAGGAAGGUGGGGACGACGUCAGGUCAGUAUGGCCCUUAUGCCCAGGGCUGCACACGUACUACAAUGCCCAGUACAGAGGGGGCCGAAGCCGCGAGGCGGAGGAAAUCCUAAAAACUGGGCCCAGUUCGGACUGUAGGCUGCAACCCGCCUACACGAAGCCGGAAUCGCUAGUAAUGGCGCAUCAGCUACGGCGCCGUGAAUACGUUCCCGGGUCUUGUACA
rnacentral:rRNA from 1 species